rnacentral:rRNA from 1 species
UGGGGAAUUGUUCGCAAUGGGCGCAAGCCUGACGACGCAACGCCGCGUGGAGGACGAAGAUCUUCGGGUCGUAAACUCCUUUCGAUCGGGAAGAACGGCUUCCGGGUGAAUAGUCCGGAAGAGUGACGGUACCGAGAGAAGAAGCCCCGGCUAACUCCGUGCCAGCAGCCGCGGUAAUACGGGGGGGGCAAGCGUUGUUCGGAAUUACUGGGCGUAAAGGGCUCGUAGGCGGCCAACUAAGUCCGACGUGAAAUCCCCAGGCUUAACCUGGGAACUGCGUCGGAUACUGGAUGGCUUGAAUCCGGGAGAGGGAUGCGGAAUUCCAGGUGUAGCGGUGAAAUGCGUAGAUAUCUGGAGGAACACCGGUGGCGAAGGCGGCAUCCUGGACCGGCAUUGACGCUGAUGAGCGAAAGCCAGGGGAGCAAACGGGAUUAGAUACCCCCGUAGUCC